GUUCCAGGACCAGUGUGGAGCCCUGUCCAUCUAAACUGUUCCAGGACCAGUGUGGAACCCUGUCCAUCUAAACUGUUCCAGGACCAGUGUGGAGCCCUGUCCAUCUAAACUGUUCCAGGACCAGUGUGGAGCCCUGUCCAUCUAAACUGUUCCAGGACCAGUGUGGAGCCCUGUCCAUCUAAACUGUUCCAGGACCAGUGUGGAGCCCUGUCCAUUGAUUAUUGGCAUUUCUGGGAUACUUCGUAGCUGUAUUAAUCAGUGAGACCGCCUGUGUGGCCAAGUCUCUAAGGACAGUGACUGUGUAGAGCUAUGAGGCGGACUCAGGGAUGUCUGGGAGCUGUGAGCCUGUGAGAUUGAGGUGUCUGAGGCUGAUCAACUCUUCAGUAUAAAUGGAGGAGUGAGGUUCAUGAUGAUGUAAUCGUCAGCCAAGCUCUCUUUUGUUCCGCUCCUGCAAUGGUGUGAAAGAGACCUUCCCCCUCCCCAUACACAUACACACACACACACACACACACACACACACACACACACACACACACACACACACACACAUACACACACACACACACACACACAUACACACACACACACACACACACACAAACAGAGGCACAAGAAAGAUAGUGGGGGUUUAGGUUUUUAGUCCUUCAGGGCCAGAGAGAGGCUCUCUCUCUCUCACUCUGUCUCUCUGUCUCUGUCUCUCUCUCUCUCUGUCUGUCUCUGUCUCUCUCGCUCUCUCUCUCUCUCGCCUGGGCUGUGCUGCUAAGCUCCAUCAGGAUGACAUCAUACUCAGCCUACACAAUGGGUCUGUUCAUCUCCUGAGGGCUGCGUCGCGCAACUGGACCGCUAGCCACCCACCCGCCUAAGGGGAAGAGGAG